UGCUAUUCCUAGAUAAACACAACACGAAAAUAAUUUGUGAUAUGGUAUCAAAAUUGAAAUAAAUAUAGAAAGCUGAAAUUUAGAAAAAUUAAAAAAAACCUCCUUUUACCUGAGGAAUAAGAAUAUUUGCCAGACAUUUAGCUGUUAUUUCUAGCAUAACGGGUUUUCUGGUGAGGGCUUGAUAGUUUUUCGUCUGCUGUUUCAGGAGAAAUCUACGCAUGCGCAAACAAACAUAUCCAAUAUAUAAAACAGCCAGAGUUCUGUGCCCUUGGAAAGCCAGACGGGGCGACAUCGGAUGUUUUGUAAGAAAACUUGAAAUUUUGGAAAAAGAAAUUAUUUCGGUUCCUAACCUCCGUAUUUUUCUAAGUGAAAUUAAAAACAACAACAAAAAAAGAAAAUUCGAAAAAGCAACCCGCAUUGUGUACUUUUAUACUGUUUGUGAUGGACAAUUCCCUCACAUAUGCGCGCAUUCUUGUGUUUGUAUGGAUUUAACCUCCAUGGAUUCUCAUCUUCAUUAGCCAGGUUUUUUGCAUGGAGUGCUGACUGAGAUAAAAAGAAAAUUAAAUGUGAAGAGAUCAAAGAAAAACAUUUAAAAAUAAAAAGAAGAUCUGAAGAUUCUCAUAUCUUAUAAACAA